CCAUAUAGUAGGGGGUUAUAGAAGUUUUCACUUUCCACAAUUCCUUUUUUAACCUUUCCAUUUCAUUUCCUUCUUCUUUAACAAAGACAGAAGAAAAAAUUUCCAUCGCCUUCGUCGGUCCCACACAACCAUCUCCGUCGCUCCAGCACCACCACCAUCUUGAUCGCCUCCACUACAGCCAGCACCACCACCUCUAUCACGCCUGCAACUACUAUUAACAUGCUAAAGAUCUGGAAAAUUGAUGAUAUGGUUCGAAGGUUUUUUAAGAUGGAUCGAUGUAAUCUAUAAUACAAAUCGACAUGAUGAUGAGAUCGAAAGGUGAACAAAUCGGUUAGGUGUUUUCAUUUUUUAUGAUUUUGAUAUGUAUUGACUCAUUGAAGUAGAGUCGAACAAGUUUUGUUUUACUUAAUCUUCAAAUUAUUAUUUGGAUCUGUAUCUGGUGAUAGAGUAAUAGCAUUUUUGGUGGUGGUGGGUAUUUAUGUUGCGUGUGUAGUAGUGUUGAUUGAAUUUAGUUCUUCUUUGAUUGUAAUUGGUGAUGGAAGAGGUGAAAUUGGUGGGGAUCUGAAGUUGAUGGGCAUGUAAUUAGUGUGAUUAGUAAAGUUGGUUGAUUAGGGUGGAGUUUAGAGGUGGUGCUGGUUGUGGAAUUGGAGUUGGAGGCGAUUUUUUUAAUGUAAAUUGUUGGUAGUGGUGUACUUGGUGGUGGCGGAGAUAUCAGGAGGUAAUGCUGGUGGAAACAUAGGAUUAGGUGGUGGAAUAGAGGUACUUCUGUGGUGGUGGUGGAAUGGUGGAGGUCUGGUGGUGUAGGUGGUAGAUGAGAGGUGUAGAGGGAGCUAGUGGUGGAAUCAGGAUAGGUUGGAUUAUUGUAGUAAUUCAAGAUUUAGUGGUGGAGGAGGUGGUGAAGGUUUAUGAGAUAUUAUUUUAUACCGAAUCAACUAAUUGAAGACAAACAUGUUCGCGUCAUUAUUGGUAAGGUACAAUUUUUUUUAGUAUUCUUAGUAUGCUAAGGUCAGUUGGUCCAUUCUUAUUAAUUUUUUGAUAAAUUACGUUUGUUCGAUCACUGAUAUUACACAUGUUAUUCUUUUAAUAAAAUUUAACAUCUCUCACCAGUCUAUUGUAAGUUGUCAUCGAAUGUGUUGUUUUUUUUAAUUAGCAUAUGUAUUUUGAACCUAAGGUGUCCAUUGUAAAUACAAGUAUACUACUCCAACAAUUAUUAGAGUCAACUAUUUGUAGAUAUAACCAAAUCCGUCAUGCUCACUGUUAGACAUAUUUCAGCUGACUUGUUAAGAUAGUGGUAUACGUUGCAGUUAUACAUAUAAUAUUUUCUUGUUUGAAAUGAAAGAUGUUUAGGUAAAAACAAGAACCUAUCCAGAGUCGACAAAUGAUGCCAUGAUCUCUGUGUGUAUUUAUAUGUUCUCACCGGCGCUGACUUUUUAUUUUUGGGUAUAUUAAACAGGUGACGAGGUAUUUUAUCUUUCCUUGACAACUCACUUAUGAUUUUUUAUCGUCUUUUUUAGCUAGUGGUGUUUCCGACUGAUGAGAAAUUGUACAUUUGACUGAUGCCAGGUUAACUCGUUUGUGUAAAACUUUGGAGACAACUUGUGCUAGUUACCUCCAUGUUUCAUCUUUGUUAACAACUUAGACCAAGUUGCUUCCAUUAUUGGAGACAACUUCUGCUAGUUGCUUCCAUUAUUGGAGACAACUUGACCAACUUGCUUCCACUAUUGGAGACAACUUGUGCUAGUUGCUUCCUUUUCCUGGAGACAACUUGUAUCUCUUGUUUUUGUAUUGAGUUUCGAUUUUGCUUUUGGUUUGUCUAAGUUUGAGUUGCCACGUAAAAAAUGUUUGUUGCAGAGAUUAUCUUUUGCAUCUUAACAAUCUAUCAUGCCAUUUCUGAUUCAACAUCUGUUAGAGAGAUGCAAAGUAUCGGCUAGUGGUAGUGCUGGAAUUGGUGGUUAGCUGGUUAUGUAUGCAUGUUGAUAUAACAUUUCUUUCUUCUUAGAAAUUACUCGUUUACCUUUUUGCCAAACCGGGGGCUUAUUGUAGUUGUCUUUCACUAUGAUACUUUCUUUGUUCAGGACUUUUAUUUCAGUGAACUGAAUGAAUAACUCAAACAUUAUUCCCAAGAGUAUAAUGGAGUUGAUAAGGUUGGCUAACCAGUUUAGUUUGGAUUCUAUUCCAUAUAUUUUCAGAGUAGUUGCGACGAAUCUGUGGUGCAAUGGUAACACAGGGUUGUGUCGAGUUGCUGAUGAUGGUUUUUGCUGCUGAUGAUCAUGCUUUAGAGUCAAGAGGGUAGAUGAAUGCUUAGGAAGUUGAGAAGGAACUCAAUAUGUAUCCAGGCAUUGAAAGCAGAACAAGAAGUUGUUACUGCUUGUGUGUUGCUGAUGGUGUUUGAGUAGGGGCAUGGAAGUGACUGCAACUAUUGGCUCAUGUUGCAAGUGUGCAUAGACGGUUGUGGUCAUGAAGUUUUUGCAGGUAGAGUUGCAGUAGCAGAGAUGGAGGAUGUGGUGUUGUAUGGUGGUGGUUUGAAUUGUUGGUUGAGCAUUGAUGGUGUGGAGAACCUGUGGUCCAAUGGUAGCACAACUGACUAUAUGUCAGAAGAUGUGUGUUCGACUCACACUAGGUUCACUUAUUUGUGUAUAAUUUUUAUUUUUUUGGAGUCAACUUGUGCUAGUUUCUUCCAUAUGUGGAGACAACUUGAGCUAGUUGCCUCCAUUAUUGAAGACAACUUCAGCAAGUUGCCUCCAGAUUUGGAGACAACUUUCAGCAAGUUGCCUCUAGAUGAUGGUGGUGGAAUUGGUGGUUGCUGGUGGUGAUUGGUGGCGGUGGAUGAAAGUGGUGGUGGUGGGUAGUGGUGGUGGUUGUCGGUGGUGUAC